rnacentral:rRNA from 1 species
UACGUAGGGCGCAAGCGUUGUCCGGAAUUAUUGGGCGUAAAGAGCUCGUAGGCGGCUUGUCACGUCGGAUGUGAAAACCCGGGACUCAACUCCGGGCCUGCAUUCGAUACGGGCAGACUAGAGUUCGGUAGGGGAGACUGGAAUUCCUGGUGUAGCGGUGAAAUGCGCAGAUAUCAGGAGGAACACCGGUGGCGAAGGCGGGUCUCUGGGCCGAUACUGACGCUGAGGAGCGAAAGCGUGGGGAGCAAACAGG